ACCAACGUCAAACCUCGUCUCACUCUCACAGCCGUGAUAAACUAUUGCAUCUCGCUUCCGCCAAAGAAAAGCAACAAAUAUCUGUCCAGCCGGCCAGCCAUCUCGUUUUUUCAUUUUCUUUUUCAAGAACGCGAGCGGGAUGUCUAGCAUCAAGCUGUCGUUGGAGCAGUUGCGAGCAAAAACAAAACGUGUAUUGCAAUUGUGAAAACUACAACGUAAAUUUCUGGCAGUACUAAUUGUUUUCAACUUAAUGUUGUUUUGUAAGUAUAGCCAUUGCAAUUUUUCGUACCCAUGUAUUCAAUCAGACCAUAAUUUUUCCAGCUUCCAUUAUCAUACGGGAACACCGAAAACCAGCAAAAAUCUAAAGACUGACGAUGGAACAAAAAAUCAAGUGGAAAAAUACCUGGUUUCAUUCACAGAAAGCUAGUGUUUACAGUUCCGUUCUAUCGUAUCUCGAAAUCACGAGCAUCCGGAAUAAAUGCUCUACAAAUUCUUGUUUUCUUCGACUUGGCUGUCAGCAUCCUGUUCAUGUUAUCGUUUGCUUCCUCCAAUGAGGAGCCACCUGGAACUAAGGGAACUAAAUGUGAUUUCUAGUAGUGUGACAAGGAAUUUAGAUAUGCAAAUCCGAACCGAUCUGAUUUGUGGAAGUUGUGGUAGUAACUCUUGUGUUUAAAUUAAAAUGCAAUAAUUAUGAUUUAAAUGUGUCGUUCUCCAAAUGAUUACCACUGUUUUCCCACUACCAGUGUCUUUCCCCAGCUACAACCCGCGGUUCUGAAGUUUCCGAAUCAGCACCAGAAAUCGGGGGUUAUUCUGCGACUCGAGUGACGUGACUUUCGAAAUUUCAUAUCGUUUUGCUGAUCUCAUGACAUGAGUCAUGACACUCGAGUCGCAGAAUAAUCCCCAUCAUUCCAGCAGGCCGUCAUUAGCGAGCUCGAUAAUAGUUCACCUUCUUCAAAUCUAACCCUCGUUUACACUUUGUACCUUUGUGCCAGGUGAGUUGGUGUUUGAAAAACUAAUCCAAUGUGUUUUUAUAUUUGUUUUUUUUUUUUUUUGCAGGUACCUUGCCUUCACCCACUAUACUGUCCCGAUUUAUACUCCAACCGAGCAUGCUAAAAUUAACAGUUUUCCUCUUUCACAUAAUAAAUCUGAUCCAGAAUGUCGUUCAGAAGCAGAUGCCAAAAUCCUGUUCUUGUGGGUGUCCAAUAGAUCCGAGUUUCUGCACAUUCCACACAACUUUGGCUUUUAGCGUCCAGGCGCUGAAAGUUCUCGCCGAGAGAGCUCUGACGGCGAAAUUUAAUAUCGAUUUCCAGGUCAAACUGUCCCAAACGCAGUCGUAACACGUAUCACGAUUCCGCCGCUGGACUGGUACUUUCCGUGCUCGAAUCGGUCAUGGCCAUGCUGCGAAGGUAUCGGGCCAACGCUGCCCUCACUGAUUGUGUGUAUUUACGAGCGGUGAAUUGUACCUGCGUAUUAACUUCGGGAAGAUAAUUGUUGACAACACCACAAUGCAGCUGGUUAGCAACACGAAUCAGUUUGUCGUGAUGGUUGCCCCUAAUUUGUACGGAAACAUAAUCGACAAUAUCGCUCCAGGUUUAGUUGGUGGUACUGGUGUUGUUGGUGGAGCUUUCUACACGACCGAGCAUGCCGUUUUUGAAAAGGAAGAACAUCACGCUUUCGCCAAGGGCCUGAUGAUUUUACAAACCGUCCAGAAGGUGCUGAAAUGGGAUAGGGUUCGCGUUAACCCCCUGGGCGGCCAAUCGACCAUCAAAGACUUAACCCAGGCUGUUACCGACAAUUUGCGAUAAGCGAAAAUAUAAUUUAAGUUUUUGAUGUUCAAUUGUAUGUUGGCACAUUCAUCACCUCUCUACCAAAUGUGAUAGGAUGUUGGAGGCUGAAAUCAUCAAAUGCCAAAAGCCAGUGUUCACCGUGAUAAGAAAUUUAGUUGACCCUGACAUCCCAUCAACCACCAAAUAUCGAAAAAUUUCAAAUGCUAUGCGAAAAAAUCAA